AAACUGAGGCUGAGGGCAGUUGAGAAGUGUAGCUGCUAGUGGAUAGACUGUAUGCUCCAAGCUCCUCAGUCCCUGGACCUUUCUGAGAGCAAACUUGUCUAGAGAAAGCUCUUCCUGUUCCUCCUCUUUUUUUCUUCCUCUCCUUCUUCUUCCUCCUCCUCCCCCUCUUCUUCUUCCCCCACCCCUUCCCUCUCUUCCUCUACUACUUCUCCUCCUCCUCCUUUUCUUCCAUCAAUUUAUUCAUUCACUUUCUAUCUGGGCUGCACGGGGCUGCCCCUUGGAGACACUUCUACCAAAGGCAAAAACCAGAAAGUUCUGUCUCAGCCUCCGGGUAGCCAGCCUCGAAGAAAGAAAAAGGUGGAAUGCUCACAGCACUGCAGGAAGAAGAGAACCCCUUCUCAGUUCUCCACUGGCCAGGGCACGGCUGUCAUAAGCCUGUCCAUACCUGGCACGAGACCUCCUUAGAAGGCACAAGCAGACUGCUCUGCUGGGAGAGAAGAUGCUGGAAGGGCCUUCAAGGGUGCUCGGCUCAGAUUCAAUGAGGCACGGAAGUACUUGACAGAGAGCGAUAACAAAUCCAUCCAUUUGUUCAUUCGACGCUCGUUUGUGAAGGAGGAGGGUGAUGUGCAGGCAGACGGAGGGUGAGCAAGGGAAGGGAAGCAGAUGUCAUCUACCCUUGCAGCCCUCGAUGGCCGGGACAGAGCGGGACAGCGGCCCCAGCCUGGGGAGCCGGGCAGCUUGUGUGCUGUGACCUUACUGGAUGCCGAAGCGUCUCUGUGCCUCAGUUUCCUUAUUCUGACGACACCAGGGCUGUCAUGAGGAUAGAAUAAUUAAGGGCAUGUGAUGAAGACGUGCUGGUGGUUGGAGCUGCGGCAGGUGGGGACAGAACUGGGACCAGGUGGCCCAGGGAUGGUGGCGGGUACCCCAAGCUUGCUGUUUGCUGUUGGUGCUCUUGUCUGCCUUGCAGCCCUUGGGGGCGGGCACACAGCCUCUGUUGCCCCUCGUCACCCUUCCUAGGCUCUCCUUCCUUGUACAUCUGCCCCAAGCAUCCUGAAGAAGAAUCACAAGGGUUCUUUCAAGGAGGUCUCUCCCAUUGAGCCCCUUGGAACCUUUCUCGUCUAUGAUGUGGAAGAAUGAGGGAAGCAAAAGAAAAAUUCUGACUUCUAUUUUUCCGGUGGACCAGAAGCCUGGUCUACAGCCUCAGUAAGAGGUGGAGGUCCCCCAUCAUCAGAACAUUCUUCCCUUUUCUACCCCCGUACCUCCUCCGUUCUAACAUCCAAUGUCCAGGGGGCCUAGAGACGAUGCUGUGUUUGGGAGCCCACCUGCAGUCAGCCUGUCUUGCAAUUAUUUAUCAGUGAACUCCUGCUGUAAGCACUUGACCUUCAUCCUGGAUGCUGAGAUUCGGAGGAGCGGGGAUGCCUUGAGAUGCUCCUGGUGUCGGUCAACUCUGGCCAUUGGGUAGGUGUCCCUGCUCGAUGGAUCCUGACACUUCCUCCAGCAUGGGGCGGAGUGAGCCUGCAGGGGCAGAGCAAGCUGGCAGGUGAGCAAAUUCUCUCACUGUGAUAAUGACGCUCGCUCGCUCGUGCAGCUGGGAUUCCACACCUGGAUGCCAAUGGAGACUGGGGAGAGGAGCCAGCAUCACUGGGGCUCAGACGGAUGGCAGUGAUGAGCAGUGGCCAUGCAAAAGGUUCUGGCUCCGUUCCCAGGUCCUCCCACCACCGCUAGACUUCCGAUUAUUGAGCCUAUUCCACAUGAGAAACAGUUGCGGGAACCGAAAUGAGGGCAUGUGGCUAAUAGAAGGUGAAGCCUCCUUGGAGACUGGGAGUGUGGAUGACACCUAGCGAAGGAGCCCAGCCUGGAGCUGAACAUCUCUAGUGGAGCUCUGGCUGCAGAUUGUGAAGAUGGACAAGGAGAAAAUGCUGGCCAUUGAACCUGAUCUCUUGGACAUUUGGAACCAUCUGCCCGAGGCCAUGUGCCGAGCUCUGCCAGCAGCCACCAGAGGCAAGGGGAAGCAGGAGGGGUGCACACCCUCAUCCUGGGCCUGCUAUGGCACCACUGGAGACUUCUGGACUUUAGGACCGAGAUGAAACAUACUACUAUUCUUCUAAAACCAUUCUUCUGCUGCCCUCUGUCUCAGUUCUAUCUUCCCAGACACAUAUCUAGAUAGUGUCUGACAGGGGCCCUAGAUCCCUCUCCUACCUUUACCACAGAGGGUUCAAGAGAGGCUCACAUCACUAGGGAGUCUUCUCCCUGCCCACUUCAGGGUAUAGGGGCAUCCACCAGCCUGGAGUACGGAGAUAUCUGCUAAGAGUGUGCUAUGUAGAACACAUGGAUAAGACCCUAUUAGGAAAUCAACAAGAAAAAGCAAGAAACAUAGCAAGAAAAAGCACCAGGUGGCACUGCCUUCUGUUACUGCUCUUCUACAAGCCUCAGAUGCUCGGAGCCUCACCCUGUAAGCGUCCAGAGCGUGCGGCUCCUCAGACAUGACAACUGAACUACGGUGAAUAAGACACUUGGUCCCUGUCCUGGGCAGCUCCCUUGAACAUGACCAAUGAUCCGGCCUUGCAGUUUCUCCUCCAGGUCUUUACAUCCUUCAUGGACUCUGUCACCCUAAUUGCCUGUCACUGCUCCUCCAGCCACUCUCUGAAACUCCUCAGCUGUCCCCUGGCUGCUCUUGUCACGGUUGUUCCUUGCUGCUGCAGUUCCCGGCAGCUGACUAAAAGCUGCUGCCGUCCCAUGAUCUUGGUGUCACCAGCCCAUUCUAGUAAUGAUAAGGAUCAGAAAUAGGAAAAAGAGAAAUCUUAUUGGACUCAAUGUUACAAACCCGGGGGCCACCCAGGAAAGAGUCUCCAGGGUGGCUGGGAAAGUGAGCUGAGUAACCUACUUACAUAGACGAGAAGUGGGUGUGCGCCAAUUGUGGCAGACUUUUAUGCAAACGGCGGACUGAUCACAGGCCUUCUGCUGUGCCACUUGGGGAGGUGACAGUCCUCUGGCCUGGGUGGAGAUGUCUGCAGGGUUAUCUAGAGUUCGCCAAGUCCAGCACAAACUGAAACAGGCGAAGCUGAAACAAGGCUUCCAGUGCCUUCUGGAGCUGGCGUUACUCUGUUAGCAAGCUGCUGUCAUUUCCAGGUAGCUUCCUCAAGGUGUCCAGGGAGUGUUUAAAUUGCUGGCACGAGGACUGUCCAUCUAACUGUUUAAGUGGUCAUCCUUUGCUCAAGAGGGUUGUGACAUCAUAGAAGCAUUCAACAUCAGUCGCUGUGGGAAUUAAAUUACCCUGGUCCCAAAUCUAAGCUUGCUUUUAAACAUAAAAGCAUUGGGUGUUCCCCUCUCCAUCCUCCCCCCAUUACCGUCCUCCCCCCAACAAUCACGUUCACUGGGGGUUCAGUCUUGGCAGGACCAAGGGCUUCCCCUUCCACUGGUGCUCUUACUAGGAUAUUCAUUGCUACCUUUGAGGUCAGAGUCCAGGGUCAGUCCAUGUAUAGUCUUUAGGUAGUGGCUUAGUCCCUGGAAGCUCUGGUUGCUUGGCAUUGUUGUACAUAUGGGGUCUCAAGCCCCUUCAAGCUCUUCCAGUCCUUUCUCUGAUUCCUUCAACGGGGGUCCUGUUCUCAGUUCAGUGGUUUGCUGCUGGCAUUCGCCUAUGUAUUUGCUGUAUUCUGGCUGUGUCUCUCAGGAGAGAUCUACAUCCGGCUCCUGUCGGCCUGCACUUCUUUGCUUCAUCCAUCUUGUCUAAUUGGAUGGCUGUAUAUGUAUGGGCCACAUGUGGGGCAGGCUCUGAAUGGGUGUUCCUUCUGUGUCUGUUUUAAUCUUUGCCUCUCUAUUCCCUGCCAAGGGUAUUCUUGUUCCCUUUUUAAAGAAGGAGUGAAGCAUUCACAUUUUGAUCAUCCGUCUUGAGUUUCAUGUGUUCUGGAGGGGUUAGGGGGAUGUUGGCCCGGGAACCGGGAAAGGGAAUAACGUUCGAAAUAUAAAUAAGAAAUACUCAAGUUAAAAAAAAAUAAAAGCAUUAAAAAA
ensembl:lncRNA